UCAAAAUGAGGGGCUAUAAAUUGUGCGUUGUCGGAUGUAGACACGUGGCCAAUAAUUGAAAACGGAUAUUUAUUUUAUGGUAAAAAAAAACCCGGGAGUAGGAAAUCAGUCCGUACGAAGCCCCCUUUCAGUGAAAAUUGAAAAUAUCAGAAACUUCCAAUGGAGAAGAGAAGAUGCAUAGCAGUAAGGAUGCACACAAAUGAAUUUUUCACUUUUCUUCGUAAGUGUUUUUCACUUUUUAAUGUUUUUUUUUGUGUGUAGAUAAACUUUUUUUUACUAAUUGUAAUGAGAAUCAUGUAAAUCGACAAUUUUAUUUGUUGCUAUUCAUAGAUUUUGAGAUCAUCAGCAAAUCAAACACAAGGUUUAGUCUGAUGAAUGCUUGAAAUUGAGCAACUUCAAGUAGCUGAUUUUGGUUUAGUGACUAAUUACUGAUUAAGUUGGGAUAAUUUUGAUUAAAUACUUAAAAUUGGGGCCAUAAACUGAUUUUCUAAGAAAUAUGGCUUCAAUUAGUGAAAAAAUUAGAGAUAAUUUGGGAUAAUUUUGUUUAACAAUCGUACUAUCUCAAAAAGAAAAAAAUUGUUCAAUGGUGGUUAAAUGAAUAUUAGUACUGAUUCCGAUUCUGAUGAUGCAUGGAGAUAACCUGAGGUGAACUAUUGCAGGCAUUUAGUGCAAUAACAAAUCAAUUCUAUGUAUAAUAACCAGCUUAAUUAAAGAGAUAACCAGCUUAGUACUUUUUUCAAACUCUCUGUAAGCUGUUAAAAUUGUCUCCAUGGACGCUACUAAAUUAAGUAUGAGCAAAAAAGAUAGUAAUACUUUUUCGUCUUCUAAAUAUAAAAUGAUAUACAACACAAAGUUAGUUUCUAUGUUUGGCUUUUUGUGAGUUCUUAGUUUUGGAAUUAGUAGCAGAGAAUAAUUUGCAUAUUUUCAUUUCAAAACUUGCAUAUAGAAGAUCAAAAUAUCUGACUUUUGCCGUGUUGCACUUGGUUUUAAGCCAAAAUGAUUAAAAAUAAGCCAAAAGUCAUAAGUUAAAGUUAGAAAUCCAAACUUUUCACUUUUGGCUUAUAAGCGAAAAAACAAGAGCCAAUCCGGACAAUCUCUGUACUAUUUGUGAGAUAACUAUUUGUUACUGAGAUAAUUUGAUUUCAAGUAAUGGUAACAGCCCUUAACCCAUACUAAACUAAUUUAAAUACUAAUUAGGAAGUUAUUGAUAUUUCAUUCGUAUGAAAUAUUAUUUUAAAUGUUGCCAGCAAUUGAUAUUUCAUUAGUAUGAAAUCUUAUUUUAAACGUUGCCAGCAAUUGAUAUAUCAUUAGUAUGAAAUCUUAUUUUAAAAGAUUGUCAGCAACAAUCUUGUUUUCGACAUUGAAAUAAGUUUGAGAAAUUUUCAAUUUGCAUAUGAAACCCCUUGCACUGCCCCGUUUAUAGUAUUUCGAAAAUAUAUUUUGACCCACCCUGCCCUGCCCCACACAGCACUCUCCUGUCCCACCCCGCCUGUGUCCUGCCCCAUUGCCACCCUAGCGAUAAUUUCAAGUUAGUUUGUAGAAGGUUUGAAAUGAGUGGAUCGUAUCAGAGGGAAAACAGCUUGUGUAUCUGAACAUUAGUGAGAUCAUAUGCGAGCAUUAAAUGAGUCAUGGAACUUGAGUUUUGACGCCAUGCUUCCAUGUCAGCUUACAAAGGAAACUUCUACAUACAAAACCAGAAAGAAUACACGAAAAAUGAUAAUAUUAAUGUCAGAGCAGUUGUUAUGCUGGCUAUUCCUGCGAUAUAUUUACAAAAUGUAUUGUUGGAAGGUGAUUUUGGCUGUAUAUGGCUGCAGUUGUAAAUCAAUAUACUGUUCUUUGCUGGUCUAAUUAGUUUGAGGUUAUAACUAAUUCUUGUGUCAAUUACCAUCAAAACUUUACCUUGUGUGAGAGCACAUGCUCCCCAUAAGUGUGUCUACCGGUGAUGAAUGUGGCUUAAGUUCUAAACUUGUGUUAUGACUGAUAUUUGGCUUAAGCUGGACUUGAUAUGUUGAAUGUUAGAACUUCUUUCCAGUUUGGAAAUCAUUUGACUUUUCCAGUCGCUGGCUUCAAUCUGUCAAGUCGCGAUUUUGCUAAUGAGAUAAAUCAUUGGAUCUAUUGCAGAUCCUGAUGAUGCAUUUUUAUUUUGUUGGUCGUGCAAAAAUUUAUUGAUCUUUGGAAAAUAAGUGGGAAAUCUUAGAUAAGAUGAAAUGACUAGUAAAGUUGUUCAAAAUUUAUUUUUUACAGUGAGGCCUCUUAGCGUAAACAAAGAGGUGCUAUUAUUGUUUUUAUAAAAAUAAAAAAAAUAAAAAAAAAUAAAUAAAAGAAAUAAAGAAGAGCCUCUCACCAGUAGUAUCCGAACAAAGUACAUAGAAAACUGGCUACUGGUUAUAUGCCUUCUCAUUUUAACAAGUGUAAACACAGAUCGUCCGAAAUGGAGUCGGAAGAGUGUAAAAAUGAGAACUCCAGUAUUGCCUGCUCUGUUGUCUGUGGACUAUAAUCAUCAUGGAUUUAUUUUUAAUUUGUCUAUGUACUUUUCUUUCACAAUAUCUUCUCCAGAAAUGAAGUCAAGGAAAUCACUGAAACUUCCUUCUUUGUAGGACAAGAUAUUUUGUUCGUUAACAAGCGCUGAUGCAGGUCUAACUUUUUUACCUAAAGCUAGACUAUGAAGGCUGACAAUUGAAAUGCGCCUUUUCUCCGUGUUAACUGUUACUCGGUGGACAACACUUUUGUAUAUCCCAUUGCUCAAUACUUCCAUGUGAUCUCCCAGCAGAACGACGAGAGCUCCUUUAAUGAGUGGAACUGAAUGCCACUUUUCACCUCGGUCCAUGAUUUGCAAACCCUGAUGAUUUUGUAGAAUGGUGGAUACCAUACCAUAAUCUGUGUGUGGUGGCAACCCUAGUGUAAGAUCUGGCUCAGGACAUGCUGGAUAGCAAUUAACUGCCAUGACCUGGGAGCCUUCUGCAAUGUCUUCAUGUAAGUAAUUAUCGUUUAGUCCUAAGCUCUCAAAUAUCACUUGCAUGAGUUCUUCUUGCAACUUUUGUGCUGCCGUGGUGUAGUUUCCCAUAUUCUUCCUGCAUGACGAAUCACUUUAGGAUCUUGAAGAAAUUAUAGCAUUCUUAAACAGUAGGAAUAUGCAUCUAUAAAGACAAACUUAUCUGCUAAGCAUAUUCAGCAAAGGAAUGAAAGACUUACUUGUAACAUGUGGGAUUUGAUGGCCACAAGUCCAUCCAAGUUGAGGUUGGAUUAGCGUAGUGCUUGAGGAAGUCUCUCCAAAAGUGUACUUUGUCUUUGACAUGAUUUAGACUGGUACCAUAUCUUACGGGGUCAUAAACAUUUGAAGAUAAAAGAUGCCUUUUAUCUUGAGGUGGUAAAUCGAAGAAUUCUCUCGCAGCUUCUAUGGCGUCGUCCAUGACUGACAAUGGGAUUCCAUGGUUAACUACCUGCAAAGUCAUUUAUCACAUGCAUGGUGUUAUUUUACGUUCAGGGUGAAUUUGUGAAAAGCCGUCAUAUUUCCCUUCCUGGUAGACAACCUAAGUAUGUCAAAAUCUAGGAAGUCUGUUUUAACUGAUCAGCUGAAAAUAAAAGGUAGAGAGAAGACAAAUGGAAGUGAAGCUUAGAACUCUAAUGCACCAUGUGUAUAACAUGAAGUUCUUUCUUAUUCUUGAUUUCCAUAUGCCUUUUCUAUACGUGGAUGAUCUCACGAUAUCUUUUUCCUUACUUGGUGCAUGCAUAUUCUUCUUAUUUGGAUCCCUAUCGCUAGGAACUUUAUGUAUGCUGAAGCAAGUAAAUAGGAUAAAAUUAUCUUAUUCUAGCGAGUGAACGAUUGCAGGUGACAUGGACACUUGACGACAAGUAGUACCUGGAAGAAACCAAGUUCCUUGCAAGCCAGGUGUACAUCGUAGAUUAGCUGAGGCCGAAGAAGAGGCUGUCGCAGAUAGGAUAGAUCCACGACUGGCAAGCAUGUGUUACACAGGGUUCCAUCGGGGCGUAGAGCUGGUGGAAGAACGUAACGCUUGGGAACAUAGGUUAGUCCCUCUUCAUCAAGUGUCAUGGCACUAGUGAAUGAACAAUUUGGUGAUGGUGAACUCUCUCUCAUUCUUCCCACCAUAUUAUGCUCUUUAUCAUGACUUUUAACUCCCUAUUUAUAAGCAGGAAAAUAUGAAGAUAUAUAUGAUUUUUUGGAGUUUUUAAUUAUUUAUCCACUUACAUAAAUGUAAUACGUAUAAUGUGAGGGUACCAUGACUAUAACCAAUGGAAAAAUAAUAGAAUAUAGUGAUACAUGCAUGAACCAAAGAGUGAAACAUUUUAGGCUUGGUAAAUUGGCGGUUACAAUAAAUUGAAUUCGAUGAGUAAGAGUGUUCAGAUUCAGGUGGGAGUGAACCCACGCGCCACGAGUGAGAAUGGUGCUCUAGUUCUACACGUGCGCGUACGUAGGCACUGGCGUUUGGAACAUUAAUUUCCUUAUUUCACUUCGAGUUUAAGUUUUGUAAUUGUACAAAAUGGUUUAUACUAUCGGAUAAUAAAAUAUAAUAAAAUAUUUUACACUAUUAGGCAGAGUAAAAAUAUUGACCUGCUAUUACAGGUUAUUCAAUCUUUUGCUUGCAACAACAACAAAUCCAGUGAAUUUCUACUAAAGUGAGGUCUAAGGAGGGUAAAAUGAUUCCAAUCUUUUACAUAAAAAAAAAAAAAGAAAAAAAAUUGAGCAACCUGCGUCCAACUACUACGUCAAGUUACUUGAUAGUGUAAAAUAUUUUAUACACUAAAAAAAACUUAAAUUCUUGCACUUAUCAGCGUCGAUGCGUUAUUCUUGCACUUAUCAGCGUCGAUGCGUUGUUUCCACAGAGCAAGUAGAGUGAAAAAAAAAAUUACUCUCCCUUCAACGAAAGUUGUCCAUAGCUUAUUACACUAUUAAGGAACAAUAAAUAAUAAGAAUUUUACUUUAUUAUGCUUUUAAUGUAUUAUAUUGAGGAUCUUUAAAAAAUAGCAGUAUUUUGCUAUAAAACUUACCUUUCAUAACCACAUUUUACAUAAUUAUCAUUUAUAGCUGCUGUAUUCGAUUUAUGUCCCAUGUAUUCAAUUUUACAGAUAGUAUGUAUUCAUAUAAAAUAUGAAUACAAUCCAUAUUUAGUCGCGCCAAAAAUGGAAUUCAAUAUUUUUAAAAAGAAAAAAAUCUCAAUCACGCUUAUCUCGUUGAACUGAAUAUUUCCUUGCCUAACACUACCAUUAUCUUUUUUCAUGUUUUUUAUCCUUUUUCAUAUUUUUUUUUAUCUUUUUUUGUAUUUUUUUUUAUCUUUUGUGUUUUUCCCCUUUCUUCUUCUUUUUUCUAUUUUUUUCUACUUUUAUUUUUUUCAUUUCUUUCUUUUUCUUUUUUCCUUUUUUUCUCUCUUUAAUCCCUAACUUCUAUUUCUCUUUCUUCUUUUCUUUUCUUCUUUGAUUUUUUUUUAUUUUCUUUUUUGUACUUAUUUUCUUUAUUAUUUUUUUGUUCUAUUUUAUAUUUUUUGUAUUUUCAAAAAAUAUAAGUAGUUAGCACAAGUCAUGGAUGAUAACGUAAAUACCACAAUUAUUUAUCGUAUUUGUAGUCACACCGUCAUUUAUAUUUUUGUAUUUAUUGAUGCAACUAUAUUUGUAUUUGUAUUUUAAAGUUUGCACUUAUAUUUAUAUUUUAUAGUUUGCAUUUGUAUUUGUAUUUGAUAGUUCGCACUUGUAUUUGUAUUUAUAUUUGUUAGUUUGCGCCAUUAUUUAUAUUUUAUAUAAUUCACAUUUGUAUUUUAAAGAACUAUUUUGUAUUUGUAUUUUAUAAUUGAUUGCAUAUUAUAUUGGAUUAUAUUUAUAUUAUGGUUUUAUUGUGUUUGNNNNNNNNNNNNNNNNNNNNNNNNNNNNNNNNNNNNNNNNNNNNNNNNNNNNNNNNNNNNNNNNNNNNNNNNNNNNNNNNNNNNNNNNNNNNNNNNUAAAUGUACCGUUUUAUAUUUGUAUAUCAAAAUUAUUAUUCAUAUUUGUAAAUAAACAACUAUCACUUGAUACAAAUACAAUGACAAACAAAUGAAAUAAAUAAUUUUACAAAUACAAAUAUAAUAUGUAUUUGUAUAUAUUGUAUUUGUAUAAAAAUUUGAGUUGUAUUUAUUUGUAUCAAUAAAUACAACUCGUAUCAAUAAAUACAAACAAAUAUUCGUGGAAAGAAAAUCAAUCGUUUCUCUUCAAUAAUUAAAAAAUACAAAUGAUAGUUAACGCUUGUAUUUAUAUGUUAUAGAUUGCAUUUGUAUUUGUAUUUUAUAGUUCACACUUGUAUUUAUAUGUUAUAGUUUGCAUUUGUAUUUGUAUUUUAUAGUUUGCACUUGUAUUUGUAUGUUAUGGUUCGCAUUUGUAUUUGUAUUUUAGAGUUCGCACUUGUAUUUGUGUUUGCUAGUUUGCACAAAUGAAAAGAAGAAGAAAAAUUGAAAAGGAAAAAAAAGGAGGAAAACAUACAAAAAAGAAGAAGAGAGUAAUAGAAAAUAAGAAAAAAAUUUUAAAAAGAGAAAAAAUAAAAAGAAAAAAAAUAAAGGAGAAAAAAUACAAAACAAGAAGAAGAAAAAAAAGAGGAGAAAAAUGAAAAGAAAAAAAGAAAAAAAAUAAUAAAAAAGAAAAAAGAAAAAAAAAGUGAAAAAAUAAAAAAUAAAAAGAAUGCAACAAAAAAGGAAAAGAAAAACUGAAGAAAAAAAAAUUGAAAAAGGAAAAAAAAAGAGAAUAGUAUAAAAUAGAAAAAAGAGAAAAUACAUGGGAAAAGUUAUGAAUUGUAAUUAAGGAUAAUUAAUAGGCAAGAGGGGACUAUGAAUUAUAAUUAAUUAAAAAUUAGACUUUAAGUGGUAAUAAAAGCUCAAUAGUGGCUAAUCCAAGUAAUUUUCUCUAUUAUAUUUAAUAUUUAAAAAAUAUAUUGCAUCAUGAGCAACAUUUAAUACUAAGGAUAAAAUAAAUACAAUAAAUAAAUUAUUCAUUAAUUUUUUAAAUUGAUGAUAUAUUUUCUAAUAUAAUGGACAAACAAGGAGUAUCGGGAGUACUAAGCCAGGCAAUUUCUAGGAGUCAUUUGGAAAGCCCCGUGGGAUUUGAAUUUAAAUGUUUAAAACGGUCGUUUGGUUGGAAAAUAGUUAUCUCGAAAUAGUUAAUUUCGAGAUUAGUUAUCCCAAAAUUACUCGGGAUAACUUAUCCCACCAUGUAUAUGGGAUAAUUUAUCUCAUCACUGCAGUGUAAAUGGUGGGAUAAGUUAUCCCGGUAUUAACUAAUACAUUUAACCAAAUAUGAGAUAAAAUAAUCCUUUAUUUUAUUUCGAGACUAUUUGUUCCUUAUAUCUCACACCAAACGAUCCCUAAGUAGAUAUAAUUAUACCGUUUGAUCUGGUUAUUGAUCAAAUAAUUAUUAAUCGUUUAGUAAGGAAUUAGGUAUAACUGGUCGUAAUUACAAUUUUCAAUUUUCAAUUUUCAAGAGGGGGUGGGAAUUACAUCGUGUCAUUAUAAAGUUAUUUUUAAACUACUUCUUUUUGUUUUUAUUUUCUUUUUAAUUUAUUUCUAUUAUUUUAAUUUUUUAUUUUUCAUUUUAAAUAUUUUUUAUCUUACCUUAUUUAUUUUUCAUUUCUUUUCUUCUCAUUUUCCAACUUUUACAUCUUGAGAUUCCAGUAAUUGCUUGUAUUUUUUAUUUUUAUUUAUUUUUUCAUUUAGCAUAUUUGAGUUAGUAUUCUAAUUUUUGAAUUAAAGUGAACUCUAUGCCAUUAAUUAUUAUUUUUUCAAACAUGCAUUUCAUGAUUUUCUUAAAGACCAUAUAUUUUUAGUUUUAAUAAUUAAUUAAAUAAAACUUAUUAUUAACUUCAAAUAUAUAUAUAUAUUAUUUUUAUAAUAUUAGUUAAAAAUAUGAAAUUAUUAAUUAGUAUACUUUCAAGAGACAAUAUGUGUCUUAAAUACGCGAUUUAAUAUCAAUUUUGAUAAUUAUUUUUUGUUGUGUAAUCACACCUGUGCAGUCAAUAUGUACUUAUAACUACACUGUAAUUUUAUUAUGACAAAUAAAUAGGUUAUCAUAAUACUUUAUUGUAUAAUUAAUCAAGUGACUUGAGAAAAUUGAAGGAAAGAUGUCUUUUAAGUUUUGAAUGAAGGAUUGGUGACAUUGAUCAAUAGAUAGGGUCAAAUAUCAUUAGGAAACUUGAUUAAAUUAAUUGUGGACUUGAUUAAUAUUUUCAAAAUUUUCUAAUCUUUUAAAAAAUACAAAUCAACCCAACCCACAUUCCUCUUCAAUCAAAAUCAACCACNNNNNNNNNNNNNNNNNNNNNNNNNNNNNNNNNNNNNNNNNNNNNNNNNNNNAAAAAUUCUCCGUUCAACCUCCGACGACAAAUAGUCGGACGAGUUCCUUUUCGACUUUCAACUGUCAAUCGAUGUGAAGACUUCUCCGGCAACAACAACUUCGAGUUUUUCGUCGUCCUAUUUCCCGUUUCACAGGUAAAAAAUUAUGAAGAAAUAGAGGAACUUGAGCCAAGUACUCUUCUAGUAUUGAAAUAUGGACUGAAUAAAACCCUAAUUUCUGGCAUUUCUUCUUCUUAUUGUCGUACUGUUGAUUCGAAUUUGUCGGUGAUUUUUGAUCACAGUUGAUGUUCUUAGUGUGUGUGUGUGUGUGAUGUGUUGGUGUUGUUAAAAUUGAUUUGUUGUUUGUCUUGGUAAAAAUGGUAUUGCAACAGAUAAAACAUUUGAUGUAACAGAUGAAACAUAUGAUGCAACAGAUGAAAAUCUGAUGCAGCAUAUGAAAAUCUGAUGCAACAGAUAAAAAUCUGAUGCAACAGGUGAACAAUCUAACAGAUCAUUCAUCUGUUGCGAUAGAUGACUCUUCUGUUUGGAAGAAAUCUAAACAAUAUUGGCACAACAGAUAACUGAUUAGUAAUCUGUUUUUAUUCUUUCCAACGGUUUACUCUUCAUUUUGCAACAGGUUAGGACUGUUUUAUUCUUUCCAACGAUUUACUCAUCCGUUGUAACAGGUCGGUUAUAUGUUGCAACAAAUAACAUACCUGGUGCAACAGAUUAGUGAUUCGUUUUUAUUCUUUCCAACGGUUUACUCAUCCGUUGCAACAGGUCUUAUAUGUUGCAACAGAUAAAAUACCUGGUGCAACAGAUUAGUGAUCUAUUUUUAUGGUUUCCAACGGAUUACUCAUCCGUUACAACGGGUCAGUUAUAUGUUGCAUCAGAUAAAAUACCAGGUGCAAUAAAUUAGUGCUGUUUUUAUGGUUCCCACGGAUUACUCAUCCGUUGCAAUAGGUCGGUUAUAUGUUGCAACAGGUAACACACCUGGCGCAACAGAUUAGUUGUCUGUUGGAACUAUUACAUUACUGUUAUGCAUUAAUCAAUUAUAAUCUAUGUUAUGUUCCUAUUAAUUUAAGAUAACAUGGCCCCCAAAAGAAAAGAAAUCGAAUCAAGUCCAAGUGAAGGAACAAGUGCAGCAGCUCAGCUACAUCCAACACUCUAUGAGCUUGCUUUACAAGCGUUAUCUCAAUCUGGAGCAGAAGAUGAUGAACACGGGGAGGAGGAAUCUUUCAAAAGAGAUGAUCCGCAUGCUAAUAGCCCUUCCGUCGAAGAGUUGGUCAAAACCUUCAGCAUUGAUCGUUAUCCUGUGAGAAUGCAGAGCGAUGGUGCCACAGAUUUAUCGGGUGAUCUCGUGGUUAAGUCAGUCAUGGGAAAAUCUUUCGAUGCCUUCAGAAAAAUACUUUGAGAAUAAAAAUUGGAUUCUUAUUUCAGGGAAAGCUGCUUUGGGCAAUAUCUUGAUUUGCCGGAGGACAACAAUGCUCGUUUUCAGAUGAAAAUGGUAUAUGAUCUUCUCAAGCCCAGGUUUAUGUAUGAACACAAAGAUAAGAUGGAUGAGGUGUGGAUAAAUUACUGUGACAUGCCUGUUUGUUUUGGUUGAAAGGAGUUUGCCAUAGUUACCGGACUAAAAUGUUAUCCUCCUUCUCCUUCUCAAGUUAUACCUACUUUGACUCAAAAAAAAAGCACCCCGCCCACCCAACAAAGGAAAAGACAAGUCGAGUGAUCAUGAUGACCUGGUGUCCAUUCUUGGUCCAAGCUUCAAAAACAAAAAUCUGGUAGAAGUGUUGAAAGGUAAAAGGCUUUCAAAAAAGCACAAACAAUCAUUGUGCUUGGUUUGGUUUGUACAUAAUAGUCUUUGGGCGAGAGACGUUAACAACAACAUAAGCCUCGAUUUAAUAAAUCUCUCCGAGGAUCUUGAGGUAGUUAACAACUAUCCUUGGGGUUAUGAAAGUUUCAAAAUGGCUGUCGAAUAGUUGUUGACUCCGUUAACACCAAAAACAGUCAACUUAUAUGGCUUUCCAUGGGCCUUCAUGGUAAAUAUUUCUUUUAUCAUGAUAUGAUUUAUCAUUUUUUUAUUCAAUAAUGCUUUUAAUUUAUUGGCGUUAUGUUAUCGGCUUGGGCAUUUGAAGCCAUUCCUUAUUUGAAACAACAAGUGAACUACCAGGAAGAAGUUUCUUGUCCAAGAAUUCUGAUAUGGUUGUAGGCCAAAACCGAUAAAAACGCAAAAUUUCUUGAUCUUUUCAAUCCCCCUGUCACACGCCUUUUUACGCUCGAGGGUUCGAGUUGAAGGAUUUUUCCAAUUAAAGUGACAGUUUUGAAUAAGAAUUAGUUUAUUAACAGAGUUGCCACUUGGAUUGAGUUAUGGUGUUCCAAGUCACCUUAUUGAAUUCCUAAUCAAAAUGAAAUGACUCUUUAUUUUGGUCUGCAAAAACAGAAGACCGGGUAAAGAAUUCUAUUGAUCGAGGGGAAGGCGUGAGGCACCCCUCGAGUCCUGUGGUUCUAGUACGGUCGCUUUUAUUGACUUAUCUUAACGUAAACUAUUUAAUAAAUUAUGUUAAGGCCUAAAAUCACUCAUUUUUAUUAUACCUAAAUCGUCUAUAUUUUAUAUUUAAUUAAAUCGGUGAAAGUUAGUUUUUUUGAAAAAUAUUUAUCAAGGUGCAUUAUUGCACCCUUAAAUUUUAAAAUAUCUCAGAAAGAUGUAUACGCCGCAUUUUUAAUUGAGACGAAUAUUUUAAACGCAUUUAAAAUUUACCUAAAUUCCUAAUAACAAACUAAAGUAAAAUUCAUUUAAUGCAAUUAAUUAAAUCAAUAAAUAAUUAUUAAGUUCUAUUAAUAAAAAUAAUAAAAUAAAUAAAAAUAUAAAUCUACUAUAUUGCGUUAAAUUUAAUAUUAUCCCCAAAAUUUAAUUUAUUCAAAAUUCAUACAAAAUCAAAUCAUAUUUUAUAAGAUAAAUUAACACACAAAAAAAAAUCCCAAUAAUCUAAUUUAAACAUAAAUUUAUGAAAGAAAAAUUGAGCAACCCUAAAAUAAAGAUAUAUAAAAUCCAAACAAGAUAUAAUUAUUUUUAAAAUAUUGGAGAUUAAAUUAAUAUCAUAUUUUAAUUAUAAGUUGAUAAGUGAUGGAAUAUUGCUAGAUAAGGAGAUUAAUAUAAUUUCUCAUAAAGUAAUAAUAAUAAAAAAUAACAAAAAAAAUUCGAAAGAUAUUUAGCAUUAACAUUUUUAAAUAGUCUGCAUAAAAAAAAGAAAUAGAUAGCGUAUUUUUAAAACAAACGGAGAUAGUCACUGGCCGGAGUUGUCAACGGCAUCUAUGCUUGCCUCUCCGAUUGAAGAUGACGGCAUGGCUAAUUUGCCUGUAUGGUUGGUUGCAGUUUGCCAAAAGGAGAGGAAGGAGCGCUGGCGGGUAAGGGAAGGCGCUGUUGCGCCACAUUCCGGAGACGGAGGGAGAGAAAGGGGUCGGCGGCAUAGGUGAGGGGAGGGGGGAUAGCGCCGACAGCAGAUCUGGGAAGGGAUGUGGAGGCGGCGCCGGUGCUGGGAUGGCUAGUAUCGCCAGAAAAGGGGGAGGGGAAAGGCGCCGACAAUGGCUAUCUCGCCAUGUCGUGGAGGUUUCGGUUACAUCUGGCGCGCCAUUCAUUGGUGUCGCCGGCGGAUUGAUACUGUUCCAGUAGUGUGGGGGUUGUUUUCGACAAGAAAUUUGGCUGGAGAGGACCAAUGUUGAUUGUUUUCCAACGAUGAAUAAACUUUUUUCCGGCAAAAUUUCGCUGAAAAAUUAAUAUAAGAGUCUAUUAUUUUUUCAUCUUCUUCCUUCAAUUUUCUCACUUUUUUUUCGGUCUCUUACUGAUUUCUCCUUGUCUUUGUGUGAAUGCGUGUGUUGUGCUAUUGUGUAUAUUAUUCCGAUCAACUAUAUUCAAUAUACUCUUGUUAGUGAUGUCGACGGAGUGGCCAGUGAUAUUUUGUGUAUUGUUAGCUGUGAGUGAAAUUAUAACAGUGUUCAUGUAACUGUAACAGUACCCCUUUUCUUAAAUCAGACACUAUCAUAUGCAAUAUUUUUAUAUCUAACACAGUAUAUAAAUAUUCAGUGAUUUGAUAUCAUAAUAUAUAAUAAUAGAAAAUUUACAUAAUCAAUCAAAUGCACAUAUCAAAUAAUGCAUAAGAUCACUUGAACAUUUUCAUUCAUGCUAGUUCAUAAUAAAGUUUACAGGAUAAAUGAUACAUGAUCAAAUAGAACCUGUGAUGAAGCAAAAAAUCGACAUCAAAACUCGAACAGAAACCCGAAACUCUAUUUGCUACUCUUUCUCUUCUUUCUUUUUUGUGUUUGAUUUUGAGUGUUGUUUUCUUCUCAUUUGAUUUUGAGUGUUGUUUUCUUCUCACUUUUUGUCCGAUUUCUCUCUGUAUUUUUUAGUGUGGUCUUUCUCUCUCCGUAUUUUUUAUCUCUGUCUGAUUUGUCUGAUAUAGUGUAUGAGGAUGUGAAAAAGUACGUCCGUUUCCUGGGGUUGGGGAGUCCUUAAAUAGAAGGAUUUUGGGGGGAGUAGUGUAGGUAGUUUAGGAUUUAAAUUUUGAAUUUUUUUUUAUAUAUAUAGGAUAAUGAUCUCAUUUUUUAAUAAAUAAAUAAAUUAUAUAAAAAUUAAAUAAUAAAAUAAUAAUAAUAAUAAAUAUUAAAUAAUUAAUUUUUAUACUUAAGAAAAAUAGAAUAAAAAUAUAACUAAUUUAAAAUAAAAAUAUAAUUAAGAGAAAAUAAAAUUACUAGAUUAUUUAUAAAAAUCUAAAUUAAAAGAAAAUAUUUUUUGAAAAUUUUUUUGUAUUAUUUUAAAAAAAAAAAUCUUAAAAUGUAACUUUAUUUUUUGAUUUUUUUAAAAUGAAAUCUAUUAAAAAAAUAAAUUAAAUAAGAACUAAAGAUAAUAUUUUGACAUAAAUAAAUAUUUAAUGUCAAUAAAUAAAUAAAUCAAAACUCGGGAGUGUCAAAAAUCACGUGUCUACAUUUUUGCCCCUCUUUUUGUUGAAUCUCGAAGAGUUUUCAUACAAAGAAGUAGACAAGAUAUGAUUUUUGACCCUCCAAUUAUUUGAAAGUUAAGGAUAAAAAUAAAAAUUAAAGGAAAAAUGUAACCGAGUUCUAAUUUUGGACCUCCUACAUAUCCCGGGUUUAAGAGAAUCAGGUCACAUGUAGUUCAAAGAUAACAUGGUAAGAGAAUGAGUUAGACAUCGAGUGAGAUUUCGUUCGAGUUUCCGAUUUUCGACUUUCUGCUUUUACAUUGAAAUGAAUAACAAAAAAUAAAAUAAAGAUACAAAUGAAAGAUCCUAUCUAUGCUGCUUUUCUGGAAUCUUGACUUGAAUCUUUACGACUUCUCAAAUGGUGAGAUAGUCGUUAUUUUGAGUUGAACUUGAAACACGAAAUGUUCCUUCUCGUUGGCUUUUGGCGUUAGAGAGGAACUUGAUAAUUCAUUUAUUCUUUGAACUUUCCUCUGACUUGAAUUUGACAAUCUUUACCCUAUUUUUCAGGCGGACUCCUGAACUUGCAAUUGAUAAUGUUCACCCUAUUCUUCAGGCAGGCUCCUGGACUUACAAUUUCUUCACCUUGUUCUUCAGGCGGGCUCCUGGACUUUCUCUUUCUUCACCCUGUUCUUCAGGCGGACUCAUGGACUUACAAUUUCUUUACCCUGUUCUUCAGGCGGGCUCCUGAACUUACAAUUUCUUCACCCUAUUCUUCAGGCGGGCUCCUGAACUUUUUUUUUCUUCACUAUGUUCUUCAGGCGGUCUUCUGGACUUACAAUUUCUUCACCCCAUUCUUCAGGCGGGCUCCUGGACUUCCUUUUUUUAUUCACCCUGUUUUUCAGGCGGGCUCCUGGACUUACAAUUUCUUCACCCUAUUCUCCUGGCGGGCUCCUGGACUUCCUUUUUUUCUUCACCCUAUUUUUCAGGCGGGCUCCUGGACUUACAAUUUCUUCAUCCUAUUCUUCAGGCGGGUUCCUGGACUUCUUUUUUUCUUUACUCUGUUCUUUAGGCGGGAUCCUGAACUUACAAUUUCUUCACCUAUUUCUUCAGGCGGGCUCCUGGACUUUCUUUUUUUUCUUCACCUUGUUUUUCAGGCGGGUUCCUGAACUUCUUUUUUUUGUCUUCACCCUGUUUUUUAGGCGGCUCCUGGACUUACAAUUUCUUCACCCUAUUCUUCAGGCGGGCUCUUGGACUUACAAUUUCUUCACCCUGUUCUUCAGGCGGGCUCCUGGACUUCUUUUUCUUCACCCUGUUCUUUAGGCGGACUCUUGACUUGUUUUUUUUUCACCCUAUUCUUCAGGCGGGCUCCUGGACUUCUUUUUUCUUCACCCUAUUCUUCAAGCAGGCUCCUGGACUUCUUUUUUUCACUCUGUUUUCAGGCGGGCUCUUGGACUUUCUUUUUUCUUCACCUUGUUCUUUAGGUGGCCUCCUGGACUUACAAUUUCUUCACCCUAUUCUUCAGGCGGGCUCCUGGACUUUUUUUUUGAUUUUUCAAAUAUGUUCUUGAACUCAAAAUAAAAGGUGAAACAGAAAAAUAACAUCCUAUUCUUCAGGAGGGUCCUGUGCACAAAGUAAAUUCUCAUUUUUCAGGAGGGUCCUGUUCAAAAGUAAAUUCCCAUUCUUCAGGAGGGUCUUGUUCAAAAGUAAAUUUCUAUUCUUCAGGAGGGUCCUGUUUAAAAAGUAAAUUUCCAUUCUUCAGGAGGGUCCUGUUCAAAAGUAUAUUCCCAUUCUUUAGGAGGGUCCUGUUCAAAAGUAAAUUCUCAUUUUUCAGGAGUGUUUUUGUUCAAAAAGUAAAUUCCUAUACAACACACAUAAAAUUUUGCCCCAGUUUGUACUGAGAAAAUUUGUAUGUCAUCAGAUCAUAACUGAGAUCCAGCAUCGUAUGCUGUAAUCAUGAUUUUUGCAUUGACAGAAGUGUGAAAUUGUAUCCUUUAUUUGAAAACUUUUUAUCCCUGUUUCAAACAAAACAAAGAAAAAUUGUGAGUUUUGAAAACACAUGGUGGUUGGUUUGUGGUAUUUGGCUCUUGAAUUGACGUUGUUGCACUUGCCAUGCUCAAAUCCUUUUCUAAUCCUUGAUAGAUAUCCAUUGACUUGUCACACUUCUGACCCAAAAUUCUGACUACUGAUAUUCUCAACUCAAAACACAUUUCUCUUGUAUAAUAUCUCAGAAUUUAACAUUUCAUACACCCUUUAUCUUUCAACGAGUCAAAAACUGUCAAAUCAUAAUCAUUCUGAAUACUUUAUUAUACUUUGAAAUGUUGUCCUUGUACGUCGACCCUUUGUCUUGCUUUUUAUCAUUGAAGAAGUUGAUAGCAAGUUUGGAGUCCUUUCUCACUAGACCUGACGUGAAUCUGACUCAAAAGCACAUACAAGACAAUAAAAUUUUCAUUUGAUGACAAGGACACAAAAAUAAAAAAUUAAAAUAAAACAAAAAGAAAAAAGACAAUAAUCAUCUCUUUUUCAAAAAAAAAAAAAAACUUAUCUGAAUGUGAAAACCGAUUCUGGUGAUUAUGACAUGCAUUUUGAAUCAAACAACCAGAUCUAUCCACACCAAUCAUUAUAAUUUUUGUCCAUUUAUUGAGCUUGAAAUUUAGCCAAUCUUGAGCUUGUUCGUUCUGGAUAAAUACUCUUCUUCGGCUAGUGGCACCUAAAUGGGUUUUUGCCAACAAGCCUAUCUCAUUUUCACUUUUUUCUCAGCUUACAGUCGCCUUAUGGUGCCCAAUAGGGUUUUCACCAAUGAAACUCUCUCUUUUUCAUUCAUUUUUUAAAAUAAACACCCAAAAUAUGAAAUAUCAUGCACCCAUAAAUUGUUAAGCCUUGACAUUCUCAAAGAUUGAUCUGAAGGUAUUUCUUUGGUUGUAACUUAGAUUUUGGAUAGGGUUAGAAGGAAAUGGCGGCAUGAGGCUCAAAAAUUACAUAACAUUGGGUGAAGCAUACAACUUUUGAAAUCGACUCUAUUAAGAAAAUAAACUUUUGCCCCAGUUUUAUUUCAUUCUGAGUAACUUGAAUUUUAUUUUGGUUGGAUCGAACCCCGGAGUAAGGCUGCUUACGUAUCUUGUCAUAGCAAGAAUCAGGUCAAACGUAAUUCAUGAUCGUCAUUCUUUUGCUUUUUGCUCUUUUUUUUUUCUUUUUUGAAUCGAACUUUGGCUCACUUGUUUUUCUUUUCUUUGAUUCUUCUUUUUUUGGGACUUUUCCAAUUUCAAUUUUUUGACACUUUUUUUUUGACUUCAUUUUUCUUGACACUUUUUUUUUUAUAUUUUUUUUUUCAAAUUCUAGUUUUAUUCCAAAAGAGGGGUACAAAAGAAAAUAACACUAAAGCUCAAAAGGGGUAACAAAGGACGACACAACAUUUGGGUAGCAGAAUGAAAUGCCUUCGUCAUAUCAAUCCUUAAAAACGGAAGAACAUAACAUGCAAUUUGAGGGUGAAACAUGAGAUCAUACAUAUCUUUUCAACAUUGACUUUGACUAAGAACGUGCACAUGUGUCACUUCUGUCAUGCUUAUGAAACAUACAAGUCCACUUGUGUUGUACUUUCUCCACACGAAUGACUCAUGUCUCUUUGGGAGCUAACUUUCUUUCAUUUUUCCUGACAAUGGAGAUUAUAUAUCCUCUGAUUGAUCCCAUUCAAAAUGCUUGAAUUAGAUUUUCUAAUUGAUGAUCAAGUCAUUUUUGAUUUGCAAAACGAUUGCUCCAAUUUCAUCUAUAUUGCAAUUUGACUUAUUCUCAAACUGUUUGAAAUCUUUUGCUUAUAUUCUCAAAUACUUCCUCUUCAUCGUAUUCAACCUCUUUAUUCAUUAUUUCAUAAUUAGAUUGGAUUUUAAAAUUUGAUUGAUAAUUUUUCAUGCAUGUCAUAUCGUUAUAAUCGGCAUAGAAAGAACUGAAUAAUAGAAAAUAUAUAAGUAAAUAUUAGACACAAAAUAAAAUAAAGGGAAAUUAUGUUUCAUUAAAAAAUAAAGAUAGACAAAGCUUUAACCUAAAAUAACAAGGUAAAAAUCUGAAUUACAACCCUAGAACGAUUCAAAUUGCAGAAAGACAAAUAAACAAACUACCAAGACUCCUUCAUAGUAGAGAGAAGAGUGACCUCCCAAUUGUUAAGUUUGACAUCUUAGCGACUGGUUUGCUUAUCAGCAUGACUAGAACUUCCACCACUAUCCAACACAUUUUCUUCAACAAAUAAAUUCUGGAUCCCCAUGCUUAGCUCAUUGUUUCCCACGUAUUGUGCAUUAUCGUGUGUUGAUGAAGGAUUCCGUAUGACGCUCCUAGUGUCAAUGCUUUGCACUACAAUCAAUUUUUCUUAAAUCAACCUUUCUAUUUCUCUUUUUAAUGCAUGACAAUCCUCAAUACUGUGACCUUGAAUAUCAGAAUGAUAUGCACAUCGUACAUGAGGAUCAAAAUUUCUUGAAUGUGGAUCAGGAGUACACUCAAGGAGAGGAGUGAUUAUGUCCAACUUUAUCAAUAUCUGGAAUAAACUAGCAUACGAUUCCUCAAUUUGUGUAAAAUUAUUCUUUGAAUUUCUCCUCUUUGCAAACUCCGGCCUCGAUUGAAACUUAGACUUAGAAGUUCUUUGAUAAAUAUGUGGGGGUCCAGGACGAUGUUGAGGAACCGGUGCAUGCCAUUGCAGAUAAGAAAAUGGAUGAUCAUACAACUGUGCAUUGUUUAAAGGAUAUUAAGGAAGUGGAAUGAAAUAUCUUGGAUUUUACAAACAGGAACCUUGUUGCAUGUGAGCAUAUGAAUUUGAUGUGCAAGCUCGGGAUUGAGACUGGCAAUAUUGUUGAGUUGGACCUCUUGAGCUCUUCUUUUCCCCUGUAACGACAAUAGGUACAUUUUCCUUUUUCUUCCUUUCUGUCCCUCUUAAUUGAUGGCAAUAUCGUCCCAAGUGUUUUACGAAAUCCUCGUACCCAUCAUGUUUCUCAAAUUUCGAUAUCUUAAGGCUUGGAGGAAGGUUAACACUUGAAGACAUUUCCCCGUCUUUAUAUGCAAUAUCUUCAUAAUUCGUAAUUCCCUGAGAAUUUUUCGUAGCCUUUUCUGUACUCUUAAUUUUCCUAGCCAUUUUCUCUUGCUCUUCUGUCAUGUCAGACUUCUUAGUAAGAAAUUUUGGUGGUCCAACUAACAUAGAUGUGGGCUCAGGAGUAUAAUAGUGAUCAUCAAGAGUGUUGAACAUCGACUUACUAGCAGAAUGGGGAGGUCCAAUCGCCGGAUCAAAAGCUAAGAUGGAAUCCUCAGUAGAGGGUGGAGCAACAGAAGCAGAGACUAUAGGUGGUGCUAUCGAUGUGCUAGAUUUAUACUGAAGAUCUAAAAAAUGAGUGAUUGAAACAUUGAGAUUAUUUUGGCUUGGAAUAGAUUCUGGGGCAUGUUGUGGUGCAUAACCAAUAGCAGAAAACUGACCUUACAAUUUUGGUGAAAAACUCAAGGUAUUUGUAAGGUCAAUAGUGGAUAAUGGCGGAGGAGGCAUCCCACUGGCCCAAGCUCGAUACAUUUCCAACAUUUGUUGCCUCAAACGCACAAUCUCUUGUUUUAACCUCUCAUUUUCCCGACUCUUUGUCUGAUCCAUGAUUUCACUUUCUAUAUUCUUGCUGGACAUGACUCUUUUUCUUGAAUUUGGUGUAAUAUGAGGGACCAACACAAAUACCACAAACCAACCACCUUAAACUAACUGUAUAAGAAAUAACAAAGGUGUUAGAAUGCAAUAUUUUUCAAAAACUCUUUUUUUUGUCUUCUUUUUUGAAGAGAUCACCGAACCCUAGAAGGGAUGUCUACAUAUCUCACUAAGAUGAGAAUCAGGUGUGCAUAGUUCUCAAAAAUUGGAGAUACGAAGAAAUAUACCUUUUUUUUCUUUUUUUUUAAUAAUGAGAAAUUUAUUUACUUAUUAAAUAUUUUUUUUAUUUUUGAAAACAUUUUUUUUUUCAGUGUAAAAAGAAAGACAAUCAUUUUUUAAAACAUCACCGAAUCUAUUAAGGACUGCCUACAUAUCUCAAUAAAAUGAGAAUCAGGUGUGCGUAGUUCCUAAAAAUUAUGUCGUACAAAAAUCAGCUUCAAAACCCUUAGAGGUUUAGGGUUGUUAAUAUUUAUAUAAAAAGAAUUUUUUUAAAAACUUAGCCUCAUGAUCCCUAAAGAUUCAGGGCUGUUAAGAUUUAUUUAUUUUUAUUUAUUUUGUAAAAACUUAGCCUCAUGAUCCCUAAAGAUUCCGGGCUAUUGAAAUAUAUAUUUUUAUUUUUGUAAAAACUUAGCCUCAUGAUCCUUAAAAAUUCAUGUCUAUUAAGAUAUAUAUAAAAAUUGGACCAGAGAAUUAGAAAAAUAAUUAUGAAAGUAAUCAUAUUUUCAAAAUAUUAACCAAUAAAUCUAUGAAUAAUUUUUCAAAAGAUAGGGUCGUAUCCCGAGAAGGACUUCCUACGUAUCCCACUAAGAUGUGAGAAUCAGACCCUCUUAUUUUAUGAGGACCGUAAAACUAUGUUACUAAAAUUUUUCCUUUCUUUUUAAAAACAAAACUUUUCUUUGAAAAAAAAUAAUUCACAAAAUGUGCAGAUAAAUUAAUCUCUUGCAUUUUAAAGUUGCCUAAAAUCGGUCAACAAACAAAUAGCCUUCCAAACAAAUGUCAAAGAGCACGUAGGAUGCACAUGUUGGUCUUUAUAAAGUAGGUCAACUGUCCUAGAUAGACCCGGACCCUGUGCCGCGUCCCGCUAAGUCAAAUGCAUAUGAUGCAAAUAAAGCGGCACCUAAUAGGGAUAACCAGAUUCUGUGUUUUUAGUUCUUCUAAGUUUAAUCCUAAUAGGGGUAGGUGUCUACACUGGCUUACCCGAACGGACACUCAAGCUGGGGAGGAACAACUUGAUCGGUAGCAGGGAAAUACCUCCUUCGUUGCCGAUCCAAACCCCGCCUAACAUGUGUGACUAUAAUCCUUCACUAGGUGCCUUGACACUCCGGCUAUCUUAAAAAAAAAGUAGGAUGCAUGCGCUGCAUUCCUUCUAUCCUAUUUCAGAGACUCAGAGGGGGUGCGCAAGAGAAGACAGUAUAUAGUACAGUUUAAUCAAUAUCAAAGCGGUAAAUAAGGGACAAGUAGCACAUAAGGCCAACUCACACAAUAUCAACAAUAAUUAAAGCAAGUAUAAGUCAAUAUAAAAAGGUCGAAUUCUUAUUAUUCCCCAGCAGAGUCGCCAGAGAUGUCACACCCCUUUUUACGCUCGAGGGUUCGAGUUGAAGGAUUUUUCCAAUUAAAGUGACAGUUUUGAAUAAGGAUUAGUUUAUUAACAGAGUCGCCACUUGGAUUGAGUUGUGGUAUUCCAAGUCACCUUAUUGAAUCCCUAAUCAAAAGGAAAUGACUCUUUAUUUUGGUCUGCGAAAAUAGAAGAUCGGGUAAGAAAUUCUAUUGAUCGAGGGGAAGGCGUGAGGCACCCCUCGAGUCCCGUGGUUCUAGCACGGUCGCUUUUAUUGACUUAUCUUAACUUAAACUAUUUAAUAAAUUAUGUUAAGGCCUAAAAUCGCUUAUUUUUAUCAUACCUAAAUCGUCUAUAUUUUAUAUUUAAUUAAAUCGGUGAAAGUUAAUUUUUUUGAAAAAUAUUUAUCAAGGUGCAUUAUUGCACCCUUAAGUUUUAAAAUGUCUCGGAAAGGUGCGUAUGCCGCAUUCUUAAUUGAGACGAAUAUUUUAAACGCAUUUAAAAUUUACCUAAAUUCCUAAUAACAAACUAAAGCAAAAUUCAUUUAAUGCAAUUAAUUAAAUCAAUAAAUAAUUAUUAAGUUCUAUUAAUAAAAAUAAUAAAAUAAAUAAAAAUAUAAAUCUACUAUAUUGCGUUAAAUUUAAUAUUAUCCCCAAAAUUUAAUUUAUUCAAAAUUCAUUCAAAAUCAAAUCAUAUUUUAUAAGAAAAAUUAACACAAAAAAAAUUCCAAUAAUCUUAUUUAAACAUAAAUUUAUGAAAAAAAACAUUGAGCAACCCUAAAAUAAAGAUAUAUAAAAUCCAAAUGAGAUAUAAUUAUUUUUAAAAUAUUGGAGAUUAAAUUAAUAUCAUAUUUUAAUUGUAAGUUUAUAAGUGAUGGAAUAUUGCUAAAGAAGGGGAUUAAUACAAUUUCUCAUAAAGUAAUAAUAAAAAAAUAACAAAAAAAAAUUUCAAAGAUAUUUAGCAUUAACAUUUUUAAAUAGUCUGCAUAAAAAAAAAGAAACAGAUAGCGUAUUUUUAAAACAAACGGAGAUAGUCACUGGCCGGAGUUUUCAACGAAAUCUAUGCUCGCCUCUCCGAUUGAAGAUGACAGCAUGGCUACUUUGCCGGUAUGGUUGGCUGCAGUUUGCCGAAGGGAGAGAAAGGAGCGCUGGCGGGUAAGGGGAAGGCGCUGUUGCGCCACAUUCCGGAGACGGAGGGAGAGAAAGGGGUCGACGACGUAGGUGAGGGGAGGGGGGAUAGCGCCGACAGCAGAUCUGGGAAGGGAUGUGGAGGCGACGCCGGUGCUGGGCUGGCUAGUAUCGCCAGAAAAGGGGGAGGGGAAAGGCGACGGUAAUGGCUGUCUCACCGUGUGGUGGAGGUUUCGGUCACAUCUGGCGCCCCAUUGAUUGGUCACAUCUGGCGCGCCGUUGAGGCAGUUAACAACUAUCCUUGGGGUUAUGAAAGUUUCAAAAUGACUGUCGAAUAUCUAUUGACUCCGUUAACGCCAAAAACAGUCAACUUAUAUGGCUUUCCAUGGGCCUUCAUGAUAAAUAUUUCUUUUAUCAUGAUAUGAUUCAUCAUUUUUUUAUUCAAUAAUGCUUUUAAUUUAUUGGCGUUAUAUUAUAGGCUUGGGCAUUUGAAGCCAUUCCUUAUUUGAGACAACAAGUGAACUACUAGGAAGAAGUUUCUUGUCCAAAAAUUCUAAGAUGGUUGUAGGCCAAAACCAAUAAAAAUGUAAAAUUUCUUGAUCUUUUCAAUCCCCCUGUCACACCCCUUUUUACGCUCGAGGGUUCGAGUUGAAGGGUUUUUCUAAUUAAAGUGACAGUUUUGAAUAGGAACUAGUUUAUUAACAGAGUCGCCACUUGGAUUGAGUUAUGGUGUUCCAAGUCACCUUAUCGAAUCCCUAAUCAAAAGAAAAUGACUCUUUAUUUUGGUCUGCGAAAACAGAAGACCGGGUAAGGAAUUCUAUUGACCGAGGGGAAGGCGUGAGGCACCCCUCGAGUCCCGUGGUUCUAGUACGGUCGCUUUUAUUGACUUAUCUUAACGUAAACUAUUUAAUAAAUUAUGUUAAGGCCUAAAAUCACUCAUUUUUAUUAUACCUAAAUCGUCUAUAUUUUAUAUUUAAUUAAAUCGGUGAAAGUUAAUUUUUUUGAAAAAUAUUUAUCAAGGUGCAUUAUUGCACCCUUAAAUUUUAAAAUGUCUCGGAAAGAUGCAUACGCCGCAUUCUUAAUUGAGACGAAUAUUUUAAACGCAUUUAAAAUUUACCUAAAUUCCUAAUAACAAACUAAAGCAAAAUUCAUUUAAUGCAAUUAAUUAAAUCAAUAAAUAAUUAUUAAGUUCUAUUAAUAAAAAUAAUAAAAUAAAUAAAAAUAUAAAUCUACUAUAUUGCGUUAAAUUUAAUAUGUCCCCAAAAUUUAAUUUAUUCAAAAUUCAUACAAAAUCAAAUCAUAUUUUAUAAGAUAAAUUAACACACACAAAAAAAAUCCCAAUAAUCUAAUUUAAACAUAAAUUUAUGAAAAAAAACAUUGAGCAACCCUAAAAUAAAGAUAUAUAAAAUCCAAACGAGAUAUAAUUAUUUUUAAAAUAUUGGAGAUUAAAUUAAUAUCAUAUUUUAAUUAUAAGUUGAUAAGUGAUGGAAUAUUGCUAGAUAAGGAGAUUAAUAUAAUUUCUCAUAAAGUAAUAAUAAAAAAAAUAACAAAAAAUUCGAAAGAUAUUUAGCAUUAACAUUUUUAAAUAGUCUGCAUAAAAAAAGAAACAGAUAGCGUAUUUUUAAAAUAAACGGAGAUAGUCACUGGCCGGAGUUGUCAACGGCAUCUAUGCUCACCUGUCCGAUUGAAGAUGACGGCAUGGCUAAUUUACCGGUAUGGUUCGCUGUAGUUUGCCAAAAGGAGAGGAAGGAGCGCUGGCGGGUAAGGGAAGGCGCUGUUGCGCCAGAUUCCGGCGACGGAGGGAGAGAAAGGGGUCGACGGCGUAGGUGAGGGGAGGGGGGAUAGCGCCGGCAGCAGAUCUGGGAAGGGAUGUGGAGGCGGCACCGGUGAUGGGAUGCUUAGUAUCGCCAGAAAAGGGGGAGGGGAAAGGCGAUGACAAUGGCUGUCUCACCGUGUCGUGGAGGUUUCGGUCACAUCUGGCGCGCGUUGAUUGGUGUCGCCGGCGGAUUGAUACUGUUCCAGUAGUGUGGGGGUCGUUUCCGACAAGAAAUUUGGCUGGAGAGGACCAAUGUUGAUUGUUUUCCAAUGAUGGAUAAACUUUUUUCCGGCAAAAUUUCGCCGAAAAAUUAAUAUAAGAAUCUAUUAUUUUUUCAUCUUCUUCAAUUUUCUCACUUUUUUUUUCGGUCUCUUACUGGUUUCUCCUUGUCUUUGUGUGAAUGCGUGUGUUGUGCUGUUGUGUAUAUUAUUUCGAUCAACUAUAUUCAAUAUACCCUUGUUAGUGAUGUCGACGGAGUGGCUAGUGAUAUUUUGUGUAUUGUUAUCUGUGAGUGAAAUUAUAACAAUGUUCAUGUAACUGUAAUAGUACCCCUUUUCUUAAACCAGACACUAUCAUAUGCAAUAUUUUUAUAUCUAACACAAUAUAAAUGUAUAAAUAUUUAGUGAUUUGAUAUCAUAAUGUAUAAUAAUAGAAAAUUUACAUAAUCAAUCAAAUACACAUACCGAAUAAUGCGUAAGAUCACUUGAACAUUUUCAUUCAUGCUAGUUCAUAAUAAAGUUUAUAGGAUAAAUUAUACAUGAUUAAAUAAAACUUGUGAUGAAGCAAAAAAUCGACAUCAAAACUCAAACAGAAACCCGAAACUCCAUUUGCUACUCUUUCUCUUCUUUCUUUUUUGUGUUUGAUUUUGAGUGUUGUUUUCUUCUCACUUUUUGUCCGAUUUCUCUCUGUAUUUUUUAGUGUGGUCUUUCUCUCUCUGUACUUUUUAUCUCUGUUUGAUUUGUCUGAUACAGUAUCUGAGGAUGUGAAAAAGUACGUUCGUUUCCUGGGGUUGGGGAGUCCUUAAAUAGAAGGAUUUUGGGGGGAGUAGUUUAGGUAGUUUAGGAUUUAAAUUUUAAUUUUUUUUUAUAUAUAUAGGAUAAUGAUCUCAUUUUUUAAUAAAUAAAUAAAUUAUAUAAAAAUUAAAUAAUAAUAAUAAUAAAAUUAUAUAAAAAAAUAAAUAAUAUUAAUAAUAAAAAAAUAUUAACUAAUUAAUUUUUAUACUUAAGAAACAUAGAAUAAAAAUAUUACUAAUUUAAAAUAAAAAUAUAAUUAAGAGAAAAUAAAAUUACUAGCUUAUUUAUAAAAAUCUAAAUUAAAAGAAAAUAUUUUUUGAAAUUUUUUUUGUAUUAUUUUAAAAAAAAAAUCUUAAAAUGUAACUUUACUUUUUGAUUUUUUAAAAAAUGAAAUCUACUAAAAAAAAUUAAAUAAGAACUAAAGAUAAUAUUUUGACAUAAAUAAAUAUUUAAUGUCAGAAAAAAAGUCAGUCAAAACUCGGGAGUGUAAAAAAUCACGUGUCUACACCCCCCAAGGAAGCAGUAAGUCCAAUUCUAAUCUAGUUUUUGUUUUAAUUAAUGAUUAAAUGAUUUCAUCAUCAUUCUUAAUAUAUGUAACGAUUUAUAUUAGAUUGUCCAUCCGUGUCUUGUUUCGACCAACCGAGAGUUGAAGAUGCCAUUUUUUCUUACUUUACUGUCUGUGCAAACUUUAUCGGACCCUAAGGUCGUUGAUGGAAUAAAAAUGGAAUUGUUUUGAGCAACAACCAUCACAAGAAAGACAAUUUUGGAGGGUGGGGCUAAUGAUGCUCCUCUUACGGUUUUUUAAACAACAAGCCAUUAUGAUUAUGAUGAUAAUGGUUGUACAGAUUUUUCUCCAUAUUUUGCCGCAUCUAGCGAAUGUUCUUCAUGCAAAUGUCAAGAAUGUAAGGCAAAACACGAUAGAGUGAUUAAUGCUAUUAAUACACCUACUUCUUCUGUAAAGAAAAUAACAUCUAAGAGGGGUGUCAUUCCAUCAAAGAGGAUUUCAUAUCCAGACACUCCACUAGAGAUCAAGGCGACUAAGAGAAGAAGGAAAGACACUUCCAAGGCAUCAUCAAUCAUUAAAAAAAGCAAGAUUGCAAUGCCUCUGUUUUUAUCUUGCACCGAUGUUCAGUAUGCAAGGGUCACAGAAGAGCAGCAUGAGCUGAAGAAGGUGAAUGUACAUCAUUUGUUCCAAAAAAAUAAACAGGCACAUAUCUAUUUCAACAGAUGAUACAUCUGCUGAAAAUUAUCAAACAGAUAUAUACAUCUGUUACAAUUGUUGUCUAACCUGUUGCAUCAGAUUUGUUAUCUAUUUCAACAGAUGAGUCUUAUGUUGCAAAAGAUGGGUCAUCUGUUUGAAAUUAUAUACUGCUCUGAUUUACCUAUUCGAAUUUGUCCCAACAGAUAAUCCAUUUGAUGCAACAUAAGACUCAUCUGUUGCAACAGAUGAAAAAUCUGUUGUAUGUCUCUACUUAGCAUUGACAAUUCUGGCUUUCCAGAUGGAUGUCACAGCUACUGCCGAAAAGCAUAAUAUCACAGUUGAUAACCCAUCAAUUGCUUCCAAAGAUGAAGAAAAAGUGGAGCCUGUCAGUUUGGGAGAACGGAAGAAUUACCCAGUUUGGGAGAACGGAAGAAUUACCCGUUUGAAGGGUUCAACAUCUUGAAUGAGGCUCCAAAAAAACUAACACAGUUGAUCAACGACUAUUUAGAAUGGAUUGCCGAUGGGUUGUUAAAGCAUCAUGCCAGCAAGUACAUAAAUCAAUUUUAUGGAUAUUGGUUUAUAUAAUUCUUGUUGUAAGAACUUGACAUUAACGCAAAUAAAUCAUCAUGUAGAAAAUAAAAUAACGAGCGCUACAAAGUGAACGAAUCGAGUCUUGGUUUUGAUAUGGUCGACUUUGUUGUUGCACAUCCCGGAAUGAAGAAUUGGUUCUAUUUGAUGUCACAGCUCCAAACUUACCGGAAUGAUGAGGUUUAAAUGCCAUUCAUAUUACUAUUAAUUAAUACUUUAUUUAAUUGCAUCUGCGUAUUGAGUUUUUCAUCACGUAAUCUGAAAUGUUUGAUAAUAUGUGCAACACAUCGAUGUCAUUUUUACCAUAUCCAGAAAAAGGCCAAGUUACAAAUACAAGAACAAUACAGAUACACAAUAGGCAAUUUUUUGUACAAAGUUUACAUCAAUAAUGCCUACGAUAGGUAUUGUCAACAACAGCCAGAAGUUUUCCAUAACGAGGAAUUCUUAAUCAACAUCAUCAAAGGUUUUAGCAUUCCGGCUGGCUUACCUUGGCAUUUGGUCGACGAAUUGUUCAUCCCAAUCAAUUGUGGUGAUGAAUUCCAUUGCAUGUUGGCUGUCGUCGUUCUAAAAGAGAGUCACAUCCGAGUUUAUGACUCGAUGUCGCGAAGGAGACGUUCCGGGCCGUCGUCUGAGAUACAAAAUCUGGCCAAAAUAUUACUUACUUACCUUGAUAUGAGUGGCUUUUUGGACCAAAAGGUUCGUACUGAUUGAUUGAUGAUUGAAGCAUACCGGGAUAAAAUGGCUAAUCCUUUUGAUGUACAAUAUGAUGACGGAAUUAAUCAACAAACCAUUGGUACCCUAUAAGUUUAAGUGUCAUGAUUUAGUUUCAUUUCACAAAUUUCACAACACUUGCAUGAACUGCAAGAUAUGGAUUAUCUAUUUUUUUAUAACGCAGGGAUUGCGAUCCUUUUGUUGCCGCCUAUGCCGAGUAUUUGAGCGAUGGAUUACAAGUACUAAAUGAUGGACUUGAUGCCGGAUUACUCCACAAAAGAUAUGCUGCUCUUUUAUGGAAAUACGGAAAAACGAAAGCUUAGAAGCCAUACGCAACCGACGUUAAAGAUCCAGGACGACCAAAGCCGAAUUUCGUAGCACCGGAUGAAGAAAAACUUCUCCAUAUUGAUUUGAUAUUUAUAGCUUGAGUCCGUCAAUGUAAUAACCUAUCCUCCUUGAUUUAACUUGUUGAUUUAUUUGUAGAGUAGAUCAUUUGUACCCAUAAUGAUUUUUUUUACAUUUCAUUUAUUUGUUUAGUUAUUUCGUGUAAUUUUUGAAGGCUUCAAUUUAUUUUAUUUUGUCUAUGAAUAUAAUUAAUCCUUAUUUUUGAACAUGUUAAUUGAAAUGGAGUACUAGAUUCAAAUAUCGCAACAGAUAAUACAUCUGCUGCAAUAGCCGACAUAUCUUAUCAGACAGAUUUAGAUAUAUGUUGCAAUAUGAGAUACAACACGUAGGUCAUCUGCUAUAAAUUAUAUAACAGGUCUUCCUACUUUUUUGAUUUGCUCCAAUAAAUUACCGAUCAGUUGCAACAGAUAAGUUAUAUGUAGCAACAGAUCGUAUAUCUGUUACGACAGACAGACUGGGAACAUCUUCAUAAUGCAACAGAUGACCAACCUUUUCCAACAGAUAAUCAAUCUGUCAUAAGAGGUACUAUAUCUGUUAUGAUAGAUAUAAAAUCUGUUGCAUUAUAAAAAUUCAACUUGGCCAGACAUAAAAAUUAUUGCCACUACAUGUAAAGUGAAUUGGCUUGAAAUGAAAAUUUGUUAUCGUGUUCAUCUUUGUCUUUGUACAUGUUCUUUUUUAUACACGGGAUCCAACCAUUUAGUUAGUACCCCAUAUGCCUAGACCCAUUGCAUCUUUCCUACAACGGUGUAGCACACACCGGUCAUUUGUGUGCCGAUCUGUAGACACUCGAUGUAUACAAGCGAGUACGGCCCGCACGCUGCACCGAUUGUAUUUCUUGGGAGCUGGAGGUUCUUAUUUCGACCUUCAAAAUCCCAUGAUUCCUUCACCAAGACUUUAGCCAUAAAAUGAUCCAUCAGCUUACUCUGCGUCAACAACUUGGGCAACAACUUCAAGAGUGGCUUCAUGUGGGUUAAAAACGUCUUCUCGCUGAAGACAGGUAAGUUACAGUCAUAAACCUUAAUCUUUCCCUCGUAUAGUAGUAUUUCAACAGUGAGAAAAUAUGUGGCAUCCAUGUUCAUUACUGCAAGGAUUCUCUUUUCCUUGGUCCAGUUCUUGUCGUGUGGAUAUGGCCUCUUUCCUUUAACAUAUUUAAUCGCUUCUUCAUUCCAUUGGAACGUAGAAACUAACUGAUCAAUCUCGGGCCACCAAAAUCAGCUAUCUUACAGAGUUUAGUGUACCUAUCGUUGAAAUUAUUGUAGAAGUUGAGGUUCAUUAUCUUAUCGACAGCAUCAUAAGCAUCCGGGUACAUUAAUUGCUUGUCCCCCAUGAGGCAAAGAAUUUCAUCAACAUACUGUGGUAUAAGAAAACACUUUUUAAAUAGGUUAGUAAUUGUAAGGAAUAAAAACACAGUUGAAAGAAUCUGGUGCAGAGGGUUCUUUGAAUCAGUUCACAGAUUACCCAGCCAACGCAACUUAUGCAACAGAUUUGUAUUAUUUUACAACAGAAUACCAAGUUUUUGCAACAGAUUACACAUCUGCUGUGUAUAUUCUUCUUUAUGGAGUAGAUUGGAAGGGUAGGUUAGCAAAAGUAAACUUACCUUGUCCUCGUACCACACGCACAUAUUUGUCAUAUUCAAGAAGUCUUUGGCGGUUAAUGAAUGCAUGGUGUAUUCUUUUUGAACCUUCAUUUUGAUGAAUUCUUCCAGUUCAUUCUUCUUCUCCUUUCCAAGCGCCGCAAAUAUGUCCACCUUCUUCGGCGGCCCCUGAACUUCAACAACUAUUUGAGCCAAGGGAGUUGCAAUUUUUGCUGAUUUCAGAACGAAGAGAAUUUGUCUAAUUUUUCUUCUCUUCCUCCUAACCUCCACUGUAGGAGUGCAUGGCUCCCUCACCUCGUUGGAUGGUUUGACACCCUCCUAGAUUUCAACUCAUCGGCAUCUUCAGCAAUAACCUCUAGCUUUUCAAAGAGUUUAUCCUCUCUAUCCUUGUACACUUUGUAUUUACAAUGAGAGCAUGAGGGUGGGGAGGGGUGAGAGGGAUCACUGUAAGGGUGGGAGAGACCGGUAUAGGGGUGAGAGGGAGGACCUGUGCAUGGGGUGUUUUCAAACAUAUUUAUUUUUUACUGAGCACCAACAUGCUCAUAAUCAUGACUGACAGCAGAAGUAGCAGCAGGAUGGCUACCACCAUCACAAACAACUCCACCAGCAAUACUCCCAGAAGAAGCACCCAAAUCUGUUUCAGUUUGAGGUUGGUCGUGAAGGCUUCAACAUUAGGCUGACCUUUCCUAACUGCUCUUCUUAUGGAUGUUGCUCCAUCCAAUUCCUUCUUUAUUAACUCCACCAUUGGGUUUUCUUUUGUAUCAACAAAAUCCAUAGUAAGAAAAGAAGUUAUCCCCAACUCAUUAAUGGUAGGCACAAUCCAAAGAUGCACAACCUAUAAAAAAAACAGGAGGAAUUUAAAUCAUAUAAUAAUAAUUUGCAGUCAGUUGGGUUACAUGGGGCUCGGGUUAUGUUAACACAACCAACUUAUGCAACAGACAAUCUAGCUACCGCAACAACUGAUCUAUAUGUUGAAACAGAUUGAUAAUAUGUUGCAUCAGAUUACCCAUCUAUUGUAUAAUUUACAGUAGAUGGGUAAUCUGUUGAGUAGGGUUCAGAGACCAGAGCAAUAUAUGGUUAAUCUGUUGUAACAGAUGGAACAUCUAUUUCAAUAUCUUUCGUUGAGGCAAAUUAUUUUAGUGUAAAGAAGAUGUACUGCAUCAUCCGGAGGGUUAAGGAGAUCAGCCUCGUUAAUAUGUUUUUUGCUGCUCUCUACUGCAGCCAACCACCUAAGGAUCCUUGGAUGAGAAAUCUUAUUCGGGUAAUCCUUGAAAUGCUUUCGGAGGGGAGGAAUGGCUUCACAUGCCCAAGCCUAAAAAUUGUAAACAGAAAGCAAGCAAAAAAAGUCACAAGUAUAUUCAAUAUAAAUUAAUGAAUGAGUAAAAAUAGUGAUCAAUUUUACCAUGAAAGCCCAAGGAAAGCCGUAUAAUGUAGUCGUUGGCUUUAGCUCUUUCAGUAAAUAUUUGACAGUCAAGUAGUAGCUGUCAUAUCCCCAGGGAUAAUCGUUGAAUUUUCCAAAAUCAUCAGCAAGCGCCAACAAAUUAUGUUCUAUGACUUUUCUGAUGUCUCUUGCCAAGAAAAUGGAAUGGACAAACCAAACUAAGCACAAUUUCUCCCUGUAGUGCUUUGGUAUGUCUUUAUUCUUGAGAUCCGCUAUCAAAUCCUCCACUUUGUAGCUAGGUCCAACAAUGCCCAACAAACCAUCUUUUUUUACCUUGCGUUUGUUGGACCCUUUGUGGAGUGUUUUCUUGAUGGGAGGUUCUUCUGGACGAUCGCAUCUCAAGCCCGUCACAAUGGCAAACUCUUUCAAUCCAAAACAAACCAGCAUGCCACAAUAGUUGAUCCAGACUUCAUCCAUCUUUUUUUCGCCCUCCUUCGGACCUCCAUUAUCCACCGCAUACUUUAUCCUGCACUUGAGAAGGCCAUAUACCAUGAUCAUUGGGAAACAGAGAGGGCGGGACCCAGACAGCUCAAGAAAGUGUGCAAAGCAGUUCUUUUUAAAAAGUCCAUCUAUGUUUUCCUUCUUCAUAAUACUCCUAAGUUUGUCAAAAGGUUUCCCCAACUGUCAUUUAAGUACAAGAUCACCAAAUACUGCUUUAGAGCUAUUCAUUGGCAUCGCAACUCGAAACUUGUCAAUACUAAUGGUUUUGACAGAAUCAUGCUGGAAUUUUGAUAUUAUUUCACGCCCCAUUGGUGAGGAGGAGUUAUUACUUUCCUCGGCUUCAUUUUGCCCUGACUGAGAUUGUUCUAGAAGUUCCUCCGAAUCUAUCUAUACUCUAGAUUUUUUUGUUUGGUGAUCGGAAGUUGAUCCACUUUCUCCACUUUCAGUUUCUUUUCUUUUGGGAGACAUCUUUUAACUACAAACAAAAGAAAAAAAAUACAUUGCAUUUGAUGUUUGCAUAAUUUUUUUAAAAAAGGGGAGACAAAUUUUAAUAAAUUAUUCUUAUCACAUAACCAAAAAAAAUACUCCAACGGAUAACCCAUCAGUUGGAACAGAUGGGGAACCCAAAUCUGUUUGAAGACCUAUUUAAUAUCUCCCAAUAGAUAUUCCACCUGUUGCAACAGGUGGAGAAAUUUUAAUAAAUUAUUCUACGCCACAUUUCAAGAAAAUACUCCGACGGAUAACCCAUCAGUUGGAACAGAUGGGGAAUCUGUUUGAAGACCUAUUUAAUAUCUUCCAACAGAUCUUUCACCCGUUGUAAUAGAUGGACCACCACCACCACAACCAAUGUCACUAAGACCACCACCAAUGUCACCAAUACUAACACUAAGACCACCGACACCACCGCCAAAAAACACAAAUACCAACACCACCACCACCAACUACCAAUAAUACCACAAACACCAUCCUACAAUACCACGACAGUCAAUAAAACAUUGAGAGAAAACUACGAUUUUCUCGGGGGCUUCCAACUUUUUUAUCAUCAAAACUCAAAAUUGUUAACCCAUUUUCGAAGAUAAUACAACUAAAAGUCUUCUUUUUCAUCAUUAACUAAAAAGCCCAAUUUUUUAGAAUAAAAAACAAAUGUAGAACUCUUCUUGAACUCUGUUACCUGCGAAGACAGAGAAAACGAUGGAUACAAGCUGGAAAGAAGUUGAAAAAAUAAUUAUAUGUAGUCGUAAGUGAAAAGAAAAUUGACCUGUUUUGAAGGGUUGAGCAAUAUGUUAAGUAGUUGUUACUUAUAUUAUUGAGAGAGAGAGGAGACCCCGAGAGAGAGAGAGAGAAGAGCGAGAACUUAAGAUUUGAAAUGAAAAGUUUUUUGCAUAAAUGGAUGAUUUGUAUGGGUUGAUUUGUAAUUUUGAAAAAGAAUGACAAGUUUUGAAAUUGCUAAUUUGGUCCGAAUUGAUCNNNNNNNNNNNNNNNNNNNNNNNNNNNNNNNNNNNNNNNNNNNNNNNNNNNNNNNNNNNNNNNNNNNNNNNNNNNNNNNNNNNNNNNNNNNNNNNNNNNNNNNNNNNNNNNNNNNUUAGGUACUAUCACUAUCCUAACAUUGAGUUGAUGAGAACUCAUUUCAACUCAGAGUGAUUGAUCGAUGACUCGGGUCGGGAUGAAUGCCAUACCAACGCCAUGCAAUUGCAAUGACUCGAUUGGAUUUGUAGUUGACCCUGCGAGCUCAUUCAUUCAUCCCUAGUUCCACUUAAAUCAACUUAGGUACUAUCACUAUCCUAACAUUGAGUUGAUGAGAACUCAUUUCAACUCAGAGUGAUCGAUCGACGACUCGAGUCAGGUUGAACGCAAUACCAACGCUAUGCAAUUGUAAGAACUCGAUUAGAUUUGUAGUUGACCCUGUGAGCUCAUUCAUUCUUCCCUAGUUCCACCUAAAUCAACCUAGGUACUAUCACUAUCCUAACAUUGAGUUGAUGAGAACUCAUUUCAACUCAGAGUGAUCGAUCGACGACUCGAGUCAGGUUGAACGCAAUACCAACGCUAUGCAAUUGUAAGAACUCGAUUAGAUUUGUAGUUGACCCUGUGAGCUCAUUCAUUCAUCCCUAGUUCCACUUAAAUUAAUUGCAAUGAAAUCUGUUGCAAUAAAUGACUGGGCUGUUGAAAAUUUUCAAACAAGUAUUCAUAUUUGUUGCAACAGAUGACAUAUCUGAUUUAAUUAUCAAAUAGACAUUUGCAUCUAUUGUGACAGAUGACUGAGCUGUUGGAAAUUUCCAAACAGAUAUUUAUAUCUGUUGUAAUAGAUGACAUAUCUAAUUUAAUUAAUUAUGAAAUGGACAUUUUCAUCUGUUGUCACAGAUGACUGAACUAUUGGGAUUUUUAAUCAGAUAUUUAUAUCUGUUGUAAUAGAGGACUGAGCUGUUCGGAUUUCUAAUCAAAUAUUUAUAUAUGUUGCAAUAGAUGACAUAUCUGUUUAAGAAUCUUUUUUUCUCUUUUAAUUUUAAAGCAAGCUUCUGGUCCGAGUAGAUAAUAUCAAGUAGUAGUACUUACUACUAAAGGCGGUAAAAAAUAUUUUUUGGAUAUCUCAAAAGUGAGUUCAUUGAGCAGUCUUGUCUUGUCUUUUCAAUGUCACUAGUCUUAGUCUUCCUCGUGCCCCUCAAAUUAUUAAUAAAAUUAAAUAAUAUUAAUUAAUGAAUAUUGAAAACCCCCACGUCUACGUACACAAUACAUCUAUAGAAAUCUUUCUUCAGCUGCAGUUUAUUUUAUCCAACUCUCUCAUCUUUUUCUUUCUCUCCUCUUUAGAGUCACAUCCUUUUUUUUCUCUUUUCUCUUCUCUUCUCAUAAAGAUCUUUUCGGAUCUAAACCAAUCCAUAGCUGUCCUCGACUAAAAUUUUUAUUUUGAUCCCCUUUUUGAUAUUAAGGUAUGGUUCAUUAUUGCUCUUUCAUUCUCGUCUUCUUCUUUGCAAGUUAUUUACAUCUAUUUUUAUUUAAUUACUAUUUACCCAUAUCAUAUUUAUUAAAAAAAUUUGAAGAAAUUUUUAAGUGUUGAAUAAACAAACCAAGAAUUUUUAUUACAAUAUGCGAAAAAAGUCAUCUGUUGGGAGAAGUUUAAAAGCCUUGUUGGCAGUAUUAUUUAUUUUUAUGUAUUUUGUUUGUUUCUUUAUUGUUGAUGUAGUUAUUGAUGUUGUUGGUGGGGUUGGCGUUAUGGAACUUGUGGUGUGGUAUUGUUGAUGGUUCUGAAACAAAGGAUGUUGCUUCUUUGUUGUUGAUGAUGUUGUUAGAACAAAUGUUGUUGUUUCUUUGUUGUUGAUGUUUAUGCAGUUAUUGAUGUUGCAAUAGAUGGAGAAACUGUUGGAACAAAUCAAACCACCAGCAAGGCUGGUUUGAUGUAUUCUAUCUGAUUUCACAACUGUUGCAACAGAAUCCACAUCUGUUGCAGCAAACUCCACAUCUGAUGCAACAGAUGAUUAUGUUCUUUUUGUGACCUUAAUUUUUUUCUUCUUUGUAGAUAUAAGGAACUGACAGUUGACCAACUUUUGUCGGACUAAGUUGUCGGAGGAAUAAGUUGCUUGUAGAUGGAACCACUUCAUAUGAGGGAGGUAUGUAUUACUGAUAAUGUUAUUAUGGAAACACACAGAGUGCACUGAUUUUGUGAAUGCUGUUUUUACUGAUUAGUCAUAGAUCGUUCAAACAAGAUAUCUGCAAUUUUACAGUUAAGAUUGGUAGGUCUAAACUGAUAAGGCUGAGCAACCAUGAAUAUGGUUCUGAUACCCUGUUAAGAUUUAAUGUCGGUUGUUGCUCAUGUUUAUUUGUCAAGCAUUGUGAAG
rnacentral:lncRNA from 1 species